rnacentral:rRNA from 1 species
CCUACGGGAGGCAGCAGUGGGGAAUAUUGGGCAAUGGAGGAAACUCUGACCCAGCGACGCCGCGUGCGGGAUGAAGGCCUUCGGGUUGUAAACCGCUUUCAGUAGGGAAGAAGCGAAAGUGACGGUACCUACAAAAGAAGCACCGGCUAACUAUGUGCCAGCAGCCGCGGUAAUACAUAGGGUGCAAGCGUUGUCCGGAAUUAUUGGGCGUAAAGAGCCCGUAGGUCGUUUGUUACGUCGGAUGUGAAAACCUGAGGCUCAACCUCAGGCCUGCAUUCGAUACGGGCAAACUAGAGUUUGGUAGGGGAGACUGGAAUUCCUGGUGUAGCGGUGGAAUGCGCAGAUAUCAGGAGGAACACCAAUGGCGAAGGCAGGUCUCUGGGCCAAUACUGACACUGAGGAGCGAAAGUCUGGGGAGCGAACAGGAUUAGAUACCCUGGUAGUCCAGACCGUAAACGGUGGGCACUAGUUGUGGGAACCUUCCACGGUUUCUGCGACGCAGCUAACGCAUUAAGUGCCCCGCCUGGGGAGUACGAUCGCAAGAUUAAAACUCAAAGGAAUUGACGG